rnacentral:misc_RNA from 1 species
UCUCCGUUAUCCGGAGCAGUCCUCUUAGAGUUCCCCCUUGCGGGUGGCAACUAAGAGUAAGGGUUGCGCUCGUUGCGGGACUUAACCCAACACCUCACGGCACGAGCUGACGACAGCCAUGCAGCACCUCUACUACUGUCUCUUGCGAGAAGGCGAUGUUUCCACCGCUGGUCAGUAGCGGUUCAAGCCCAGGUAAGGUUCUUCGCGUUGCGUCGAAUUGAACCACAUGUUCCACCGCUUGUGCGGGCCCCCGUCAAUUCCUUUGAGUUUCAGUCUUGCGACCGUACUCCCCAGGCGCAGGACUUAACGCGUUAGCUACGGGACGCACCCCGUCGGGAUGCACCCCAAGUCCUGAUCGUUUAGGGCUAGGACUAC